GACGAACGCUGGCGGCGUGCUUAACACAUGCAAGUCGAACAGAAAGGCCCUGCUUUUGUGGGGUGCUCGAGUGGCGAACGGGUGAGUAACACGUGAGUAACCUGCCCUUGACUUUGGGAUAACUUCAGGAAACUGGGGCUAAUACCGGAUAGGAGCUCCUGCUGCAUGGUGGGGGUUGGAAAGUUUCGGCGGUUGGGGAUGGACUCGCGGCUUAUCAGCUUGUUGGUGGGGUAGUGGCUUACCAAGGCUUUGACGGGUAGCCGGCCUGAGAGGGUGACCGGCCACAUUGGGACUGAGAUACGGCCCAGACUCCUACGGGAGGCAGCAGUGGGGAAUAUUGCACAAUGGGCGGAAGCCUGAUGCAGCAACGCCGCGUGCGGGAUGACGGCCUUCGGGUUGUAAACCGCUUUCGCCUGUGACGAAGCGUGAGUGACGGUAAUGGGUAAAGAAGCACCGGCCAACUACGUG
rnacentral:rRNA from 1 species